rnacentral:ncRNA from 1 species
CAAGGUGAACAGCCUCUGGCAGGUGGGGAGUUUGACUGGGGUGGUACACCUGUCAAACGGUAACGCAGGUCUCCUAAGGCGAGCUCAGGGAGGACAGAAACUUCUCGUGGAGCAGAAGGGUAAAAGCUCGCUUGAUCUUGAUUUUCAGUAUGAAUACAGACCGUAAAAGCGGAGCCUCAUUAUGAACCUUGUUUGAGUCCAGUAGGUCACAUGACCAAAUAGCUAUUG